GGGAUAAGUCAACAAUUGGGUCGGGCAGGCUGGUGACGACGAGUGAGUGCCGUUCGUUUAAGGCUAAGUUUUAAAUGGAUCGGGCAACUCGCGACGCGAAUGAUGGAAGCGAAAGGUGAAUUCGAGAGUUCGAUAAGCUUGAACUUGUACGAAAAUGAGAAUUUUGCUGAGAAGAGAGGGUAUUAAAUUCUUCGGCUAUUCUGAAAAAUAUAAUUGGAUGAAAUAUUUUUUGUAACAUUACUUUUUUUUCCUCGCCCUUUGAAUUGACAAAAACUCUAUUGACUUUCAUCGGAUCGCUCGAUCGUGAAAAAUGUCUCUCCAUCCUCCAUAAAACUUUGCAAUAAAUAAAGAUGAAAAGAAAAGAAGAAGAAGAAAAAGAAGAUAGAAUGAUAGGUCCGACGAGAGAAGACUUUUUCACGUUAUGACACCAUUUUAGUCAACUUCAUACACUUUAGAGAUAAAUAAAUAAAGGAAUAACGUACGAGCCGAGGAGCACGAUUGUUGACGAGGGGUAAAAUUAGCAGCAAGAAUAAUAAUCCCACGUCGAAGGAAUCACGCCGAAACUCGCAAAACUUUCCUACGUCAUAAUUAUAAACCAAAGUUUCGUAAUUAUCCUUAGCAUGCUCGAUCAAUAUUUAUACCAGAGGAUUCAAACAUUCUGUCAAUAAUUACGUUCAUUCUAAAGCUGGAUAGUUUAGUGAAUUAAGAAAAUUCUUGUAUAUUUACACGUGUCAGCAAGUCAUUAACUCUCGAGUAAAUCUCUCACGUGGAUCGGUUGUAAAGGGAAGUUGCUUAUUAAUUAAUUACUAUUGAUUGCCGCGUGUGAUUAUUUCAAUACACGCCGUUUCGAUUUGAUUCCAUCUCUUUUCGAUCGAUCGCAGAUUUAUUUUAAAAAACUCAAUCCCUCUCGUGCGUUAAAAAUUAUCAAUUAAAUAGAUCUCAUUAAAAUUUCCUCUCUUCCAAGAUUUUCCAUCUCCAAAAUCUUCCCGUUCCCCGUAUUCGAUUCAAUCCAUCGAAAUCCUCAAACUCGAAAUAAAUAGAAGACAACAUCCAACGUUCUGCUCGAAUUCCUAAUACAUUCUCGAUCGAUCCAACUAACCACGAAUUAAUAUAUCACGGAAAGCAUGGAUUGGUUUCGCCGAACAGUCGAGCGAGCUCGAAAUGAAACUUCUGAACACGAAAAUCGAUCAAUUGUUCACGGAUAUCUGGGAAUCGAUGUUACUUCGAUGGAUAAAUUGACGGUUGAACAGGGGAUUGACACCGAGUGGGAACGGUGGACACGUGUCGAUGAAGAUCGUCGCGUGCGUGAAGCCCAACCCGACCACGACGAGCCUCGAACUCGAAUCGGGCGGCCAGUCUUCGCCAGAAAUAGGUCCCUGUCGUGCUUGUAUUUUUAAAUUAUUCCUCGAGACGACCUACGACAAUUACGUGGCACGCUGCAUCUUUUUUGGUGAUUAAAUUUAAGGCUUUGCGCAGCCCUCAAACUUUCGAAUAACGAAUAAGCGUAUCUAAACGAAUUUCCUUAUUUUCUUGUCAUUGAAAAGAUAAUAAGAAGUAAGAAAAUUAAAAAUUAAUCGUCUGAAACAACUUUUAUCAAUAAACGACGAAUUCACUCUAGAGAUUUCCAGUAGUAAAAUAUUCCUAAAUUUUCGACAAAGUUUUCGUUUCUCGAUCAAUUCAAUAAUAAUUAUUGAACAACAGAUCUGAGAUAAAAUCUACCUCCAACUUUGAAAUUAAAAAAAAAAAUUAAAAUCUAUUUGUACAAUUCUAAAGCCUUCAAAAUUCACAUAAUUCACAAAUUCACUCUGAAUUACUGAAAAAGAAAAGUCAAAAUAUAAGAGAACGGCUUAAUCGAAACGUUCACGAGAAAGAAAAGAAUACGAUGGAAGAAAGUAAUCGAAGAACACGAAUAGAGAGCCUCAAUGCAUCAUUCUCAAUGGCUCGUUGUAUCGAAUUAUUCCCAAUUCCGGAUUACCAUUAUCGUUGCAUUAACUUCCCUUCGAAUCGAAUCCCACCCUCUCUCUCAUUUCUCAAACGAUCGUGUUUUAAACGUUGAUGCAUGCACUCGAUCUGUUUCAAUUGGACGGUAUAAAUACAAUGGGCAAAAGUCGGGGAGCUACUCCUCGAAUAAACACAGACGUUUCCCGGCUUCGUUGGCACGAGGAUGAGAAAAUUCGUAGCGUGGAACACGAAAAUGACCGCAAGAAUUUCGGCGUGCGGGGGUGGACCGCAGUUCCCGCCAGAAAAUGGAGGGAAUUUCGUGUUUUAUUCCAACAGGUAACCGUGUUAGGGGAAUUUUUCCAAGUGGAACGAUGGUGGAUGGAAUGGAAAGUAACCAGAAAAAUCAGGUCGGUAAGUGAAUGUGUAACGAGUUGGCAUUGGAAAAAAUAUCGGUUGAGGAUUAUGUAAGAGAGAUGUAGCAGAAUCUACAAGUUGAAAGUUAUAUAUCUUGUGUGCAAGAUUUUGUAAGAUAUCGUUGUUAUUUUGAACAGGAGAAAAUUGGAAGACAAACUUUAUAAUUUGUUUAAUUCACUUCUGAAGUCUCGUUUAUUUUAUUUUCUCUUCGAAUUUUUCUCGAGUUCCAGUUGAAAAGAAAAAAAAUCUAAAGAAGUUUCUACGCUAUGAAGCGCCGAAUUAAUUAAGAGUUGUAUGGAAUAAUUGAAUGUUUCAGAAUUUGCUUUGACGAACUUGUAAAAGAAUUUAUCAUGAUGUAUCGAUAAAAUUUUAUCAAAAGUAAGUCGAAUGAAUGAAAUAAAAGUUUAAUGGAUAUGACUUAAAA